rnacentral:rRNA from 1 species
AGAACUUAGCAGAGAUGCUUUGGUGCCCUUCGGGAACUCUGAGACAGGUGCUGCAUGGCUGUCGUCAGCUCGUGUUGUGAAAUGUUGGGUUAAGUCCCGCAACGAGCGCAACCCUUAUCCUUUGUUGCCAGCGGUCCGGCCGGGAACUCAAAGGAGACUGCCAGUGAUAAACUGGAGGAAGGUGGGGAUGACGUCAAGUCAUCAUGGCCCUUACGAGUAGGGCUACACACGUGCUACAAUGGCGCAUACAAAGAGAAGCGACCUCGCGAGAGCAAGCGGACCUCAUAAAGUGCGUCGUAGUCCGGAUUGGAGUCUGCAACUCGACUCCAUGAAGUCGGAAUCGCUAGUAAUCGUAGAUCAGAAUGCUACGGUGAAUACGUUCCCGGGCCUUGUACACACCGCCCGUCACACCAUGGGAGUGGGUUGCAAAAGAAGUAGGUAGCUUAACCUUCGGGAGGGCGCUUACCACUUUGUGAUUCAUGACUGGGGUGAAGUCGUAACAAGGUAAGCGUAGCGAG